CCCUUUUCUCUUAACCUAUCCCUUUCAAAUAUCACGCCAUCAGAUGGAGGGAUGCUGGAUCUGGGUGAAGAACUGGACCUUGCUCCAAUAGAAAUGGAACUUCUGGUAGGUGCCAUGGGUCUUUCUUACAGAUACUCAGUAGGAGCAGAAACCAUGGUCUGUGUGGCCGGAAUGGAGCUAUUAGUAUGAUUUAAACUUUCUCUUGCCUUAACUUCCUUAGCAGGGGAAAGAUGAGUGGAG